rnacentral:rRNA from 1 species
UUAUAUGGUCAAGAAGAGAAGCGCAAACGGUGGAUGCCUUGGCAGUAAGAGGCGAAGAAGGACGUGGAAUCCUGCGAAAAGCUAUGGGGAGCUGGAAACGAGCGUUGAGCCAUAGAUGUCCGAAUGGGGGAACCCGGCUGCAGCGAUGCGGUCAUUUGCAUUUGAAUACAUAGGAUGCAAAGGCGAACUCGGGGAACUGAAACAUCUAAGUACCCGAAGGAAAAGAAAUCAAGAGAGAUUCUCCAAGUAGCGGCGAGCGAACGGGGAGGAGCCUGGCGUGAUUUAUUAUUGAACUGAGUAGAACAAUUUGGGAAAGUUGGCCGUAGAGGGUGAAAGCCCCGUAUACGAAGGUUUGAUGAGGAACUAGGCACGCGAACAAGUAGGCCGGGACACGUGAAAUCCUGGUUGAAGAUGGGUGGACCAUCAUCCAAGGCUAAAUACUACUUACUGACCGAUAGUGAACCAGUACCGUGAGGGAAAGGUGAAAAGAACCCCGGAGAGGGGAGUGAAAUAGAAUCUGA